rnacentral:rRNA from 1 species
CCUACGGGAGGCAGCAGUGGGGAAUUUUCCGCAAUGGGCGAAAGCCUGACGGAGCAAUACCGCGUGAGGGAAGAAAGCCUACUGGGUUGUAAACCUCUUUUUUCAGGGAGGAAAAAAAUGACGUGUACCUGAAGAAUAAGCAUCGGCUAACUCCGUGCCAGCAGCCGCGGUAAGACGGAGGAUGCAAGUGUUAUCCGGAAUUACUGGGCGUAAAGCGUCUGUAGGUGGUUUAAUAAGUCAACUGUUAAAUCUUGAGGCUUAACUUCAAAACAGCAGUCGAAACUAUUAGACUAGAGUAUAGUAGGGGUAAAGGGAAUUUCCAGUGGAGCGGUGAAAUGCGUAGAUAUUGGAAAGAACACCGAUGGCGAAAGCACUUUACUGGGCUAUUACUAACACUCAGAGACGAAAGCUAGGGUAGCAAAUGGGAUUAGAUACCCCAGUAGUCCUAGCUGUAAACAAUGGAUACUAGAUGUUGAACAGAUCGACCUGUGCAGUAUUAAAGCUAACGCGUUAAGUAUCCCGCCUGGGAAGUAUGCUCGCAAGAGUGAAACUCAAAUGAAUUGACG